UUAACACAUGCAAGUCGAACGAAGUGGCAAACGGGUGAGUAACGCGUAAGCAACCUGCCCUUCAGAUGGGGACAACAGCUGGAAACGGCUGCUAAUACCGAAUACUGGAGGAGGGGCCUGCGUCUGAUUAGCUAGUUGGAGGGGUAACGGCCCACCAAGGCGACGAUCAGUAGCCGGUCUGAGAGGAUGAACGGCCACAUUGGGACUGAGACACGGCCCAGACUCCUACGGGAGGCAGCAGUGGGGAAUCUUCCGCAAUGGACGAAAGUCUGACGGAGCAACGCCGCGUGAACGAUGACGGCCUUCGGGUUGUAAAGUUCUGUUAAAUGGGACGCGGUACCGUAAGAGAAAGCCACGGCUAACUACGUGCCAGCAGCCGCGGUAAUACGUAGGUGGCAAGCGUUGUCCGGAAUAUUGGGCGUAAGGGCGCGCAGGCGGCAUCGCAAGUCGGUCUUAAAAGUGCGGGGCUUAACCCCGUGAGGGGACCGAAACUGUGAAGCUCGAGUGUC
rnacentral:rRNA from 1 species